GACAGAGGGUGCAAACGUUGUUCGGAAUUACUGGGCGUAAAGCGAGUGUAGGCGGUUUGGUAAGUCGGAUGUGAAAGCCCCGGGCUCAACCCGGGAAGUGCACUCGAUACUACCAAGCUAGAGUAUCGGAGAGGUUGGUGGAAUUCUCGGUGUAGAGGUGAAAUUCGUAGAUAUCGAGAGGAACACCGGUGGCGAAGGCGACUACCUGGCCUGUUCUUGACGCUGAGGCGCGAAAGCUAGGGGGAGCAAACAGGGG
rnacentral:rRNA from 1 species